CUUAGGCUGGUCACAUAGACCACCACAAAGUGCAUGUUGAUGGCACAGACCACCAGGAUGACCACCCCUCCGCCUAUCUUCCACACCCUGAGGAGCACAGGCACAGCUGAGAUGACCUCCCACUCGCUCCGACCUGCAUGCUCUGCAGCACGUUGAGGAAGUCGUUCAUGCCCGUCAGGUGCUGCACGUCCUGGAAGAUGGCCACCAGCAGGGUGGGGAAGAUGGCGAUGGAGCGGGUGAGAAGAACCCGUGCAAAACGGGACCAACGCAGAUUCAAGAAACCCUGAGGCAGGGGCAAAGAGAGAGAGAAAACUAACAGUCAACACACCCACACAAAACCCAUCAUCUCACACACACACACACACACACACUAAUGGUUAACAAUACAAUUUGCAAACUCUCUCAAACACACAGAAACACAGUCAAUGAGUAUAUCAGCACGUUCUCACCUCCAUGACAAACUGGCCAGAGUAAGUGCCAGUCAUGGUGGAGCUCUGUCCGGCAGCAAGGAUCCCGAUGGCCCAGAUGUAGAGGGCUACAGGGCCAAAGAAACAACCCAGCACCACCCCCUGUACAGUCAGAGAGAGAGACAGAUACAUACAGAAAGACAGUCCCCUUUAUGGUUAUGCAUCUUAUCAAGACCUAAAUAAAUGUUAUUUCAUGACAAAUUUAUUGACAGAUCCUGUCAUUUCCUAUCACAGGAGGCCAUGUAGACUGUUGUUAAUCCAUUAAAGACGUACCCCCUUGUAGAUGUCCA